GGCAGAGACAGCUUCUGGGGUCACUUUUCAGCUAAAAAGACCCUCUCAUCUUUCAGAGAGCCAAUUCUCCUUAUGAGGUUGGAGUACGUUUUGUGGACCACGCUAUACAGGAUGCAGAAGGACCCUCCAAUCAGCAGCAAGCAUCCGUGUCAUGUGUGAGCACAUGGUCUUUAAGAAGGAGUUUGGUGCCUGCAGAUGUGAGUAUCUGGAUGUGUGUGCCUACUCACCAAGCUUGUACCACAUAUCACGGAUGGAGAAGCCAAUUAGCCGUCUCAUGUCCCCAUACCUAGGAGGAACAAAAACCUCUGCUUCAGGCACCAUCUCAGAGGAUCUCAUGGACCUCCCCCUCUUCAGGAAAUCCAAAAAUGCAACCUACUUAUUCAGGAUUUUGUUGUAUUUGGCGUGUGAGAACUGCUCCAGCUGCAGAGAAUCCUGGGUGAUAAAAGCCACUGCCAGAUGAAAAUAGUUGUUCCACAGCUGUAAAUGAAAGAGCAGAGAACAGUUAUGGAGAGGGUCUGAAGCGGGAAGGCAUAAGCGCUGGGUAGUGUGAAUAAUUUAUGAAGAUGGCAGAAGACAGAGGCCGAACCAGUUUAAUUGUGCCCACUGCAAUUUUCUAACUGGCACUGACUCUGAAAUUAACAUCCUGGCCAAAGUGAGGACAAUGGAUGGAUUUCUCUAGGCGCUACCACGUCCACUCUCAGACAACAGGAUUUGGGAGAGGAGGAGAAUUUUAGGUUUUUUUUUUUUUGUUGUUGUUGUUGUUGUUGUUGUUGUUGUUUUUGUCCUUGUGCUUUGUUCUGUUUUUUGAAAGACAAAUAAUUUGCCCUAGCUGCGUGCUGUGGAGAGCUGGUUCUUGCCCUGGAAUUAGAGGGUGACGAAGGGUAAGAUAGUUCAGGGAUUCACUGCCUCUCUGGAAGUCCUCCCUAAUUCACCUGACAGCUUGGAGGACCAAACUGCAAUCCAUUCUGUCUUAAAAUAUUUUGCCUUUACUUUCCCCUUAGUUGAAUAGUUUCAAAGUGUGGUUGCCAGAUCAGCAGCAGCACCUGGGAACUUGCUAGAGAUACAAAUUCUCUGGCCGCUGCCUAGACCUACUGAAUCAGAACCUCUGGGGGUGGGACCUAGAAAUCUGCAGGUUAAUAAGCAGUCAGGUGAUUCUGAUGCAUGUUUCAGUUACAGCCCCUGCUGGCCCAGCUGAGAUGCAGGCUUGUAAGGAUUUUUGCAUGUACCUGAUCUGUUGGUGCUAACCCACUCCACCAGCCUGCAGUGAAAUAGAGCAGGUAAAGGGGUCAGCACAUGGUGACUGCUCAAAAGAUUAGCCACACUGAUGGCAAUAUUGAUACAGGAUACAGAACCAGAGAUAUUAUAGGUCCAAACCAUGGAUCUACAAUCCAUGGAUUCAUCACGGAGCCUCGGUAAACCUGUCUGCAAAACUGAGGUGACUCUGGUACCCACUGCAGAAAGCUGUGAUAAAGAUGACACAAAAUGAUGUGUUUAAAGACAUGAAUCACAGUAAGAGCUCAAAAAUCCUUGCUAGCCUUAUUGCUGUUGUGCUUUUCCUUAUUCCAGUGGUUUCUUUGGUACGAAAGCCAGUGAUACAGCCUAGGGUUUUGGUGCUCAAGGGCAAUUAUUGCAAGAUGCCAAGGUCCUGCAAGGAGCAUGUGGGAGACAGUUUUGCUGAACAAAGCCCACCCACUUUAGGCCCCUCUCAACAGUGUAUGUAGCAAGAGGAUAGGCAACAUUAGCCAGAGAAAUCAUACUGCCAUUGAAACCUUCCUCCUUAACUCAAAGACGUUCAUUCGUGUUUGCAGAUGGCCAAGACUAUGAAAGAGGCAACUCUUCCACUGAUAACAUAACAUCAUCAUUGCUGCCCAGAGUAUGACUUUCAAAUCGGUUUGCGGUUCCAGUCUUUGAAAGAAGCAAAACAAGCAAUCUAAUUUUACUAUAGGCCAGGAACUUUCUCAUACAUCUUCCUUUCAUCUCUCAACACUUGACAGCUCUUAUUCCUCUAUUAUAGAUGAGGAGACUGAAGCUUGGAGAGGUUGAGUAUUUUGCGUAAGUCUCUCAUCUUGAUGUAUACACAGCAGAGCUAAGAUCUGCACGCAGACCUUCUGAUUGACAUUCGGGGUUCUUUUAACACACCACGGUCAGUAUUCAGCUGGGGAUGCAUUUAACAAAUAUUUCUGGAACAUCUGCUAGGUGCCCUGGCAUUGCCACAGUGUGGUGACAGAGCAGUGGUUACACAGACAGCGAUCCCUGGCCUCACGCAGUUUACAUUUUGUUGAGUGAAUGCUUUUUUCUUUACUUGGACCUUUAUCACCCAGGGCCCAAAAAAACAAACUGCUCUAGGGAUUCAGUGAAGUGGCCUCUUGGCUCAUGGCCCCCUUAAAGUCAGCUCUCCAUGCAGAGACCAGAAGAACCUUUUAAAACACAUCAGAUCAUUCGAGACCAGCCUGACCUACAUGGUAAAACCCCAUCUCUACUAAAAAUACAAAAAUUAGCCGGGCAUGGUGGCACACACCUGUAAUCCCAGCUACUCAGGAGACUGAGGCAGGAGAAUCACUUGAACCCAGGAGGCGGAGGCUGCAGUGAGCUGAGAUCACGCCACUGCACUCCAGCCUGGGAGACAGAAUGAGACUCCAUCUCAAAACAAAAACAAAAACACAUCAGAUCAUGCCACUCCCUUCCUCAAAGUCCUCCAAAGUUUCUUGUAACAUUUGGAAUCAAAUCUCCUUGUUUCCGUAGCAACGUUGCUUAUGUAAACACAUGUGGCAGGUUGGGUCUCCUGUCCACAUCCCCUCAGACUGCCUUUCCUCCCGGCAUCCCAGUGACUUAGCAGUUUCUCCAGGGCUUUGCUUUGAAAAUGUGCAGCUUUGGUCUGCUUAUGUCCGGAGCUUACACCUUCUCACAUUUAAGAUGGGAAUUUGAAACAACAAGCCAGGGCAAGAGAAAACUGUGGCCACAGGACAUGGAAAUGAGUGUUUCCAUGAAAGUGAGAAAUCUCUGAUUUUAGGGGAUAGCAAAAGAGUAAUUAAGGUACAUGGGAAAUAGGUAUCCAACAAAGCAAGUCAAUUUACAAUUACUUGUGAGAAUAAUUUCAGAAAUGCCCCCUAACACAUAAGACACAUCAAAUAUGGUUGAGCCUCUUGCCAGUAUCUAUUCUACCCUGAAUGAAUCCAUCAAAAAAGCAUUUUCUCUGUCAUCCCAUUCCUGAUUUUCUUUUUUUUAAAAAAAAAUCUGAGAUAUAAUUUAUAUACCAUAAAAUUCACUUUUUAAGUGUAUGAUUUAGUUUCUAGUAUAUUCACAAGGGGUUCAACCAUUACCAUUGUCUAAUUUUGGAACAUUUUCAUCACGCCAAAAGAAACCCUCUACCCGUAAGAGUCAGUCCCUCUUCUCCCCACCAACACCUUCCCCUACCCUGUCCCUGGAACCUAUACAAGCAUGAGGCAUCCACCACAGGCUUGGCACACACCGAGCACUCAGUAAAUGCAGUGGUGGUGUUGAUGGUAGCACUGGGUGUAGAGUAUUUGUAUGCCCUGUCUUCUCCAACUGUAAGCUCCACAAGUACCCAAAUCCUGUCUUGCAUUUCAUUGUAUCCCUAAUGCCAUGCUCAGCACAAUGACUUGAAUACAGCUGGGCUCCAGAAAAUAUUUGUUUAUCAAUUGCUAUAUUGUCACAGAAAUUCUUCAAAAGGUCCCAGAUUUUUCUGUCUGCCCUGCUACAAACUGCCUGGAAACUGUGAAUACUAAUGUACUGUCUGUCUCUGUGGAUUUGCCUAUUUUGACAGUUCAUAUAGGUGACAUCAUAAAAUAUGUGACCUUUCAUGUAUGAUUUCUUAUACUUAGUGUAAUGCUUUCAAGGUUCACCCAUGUUGUAGUAUGGAUCAGUACUUCAUUUUUUUUUUUUUUUAUUAUACUUUAAGUUUUAGGGUACAUGUGCAC
rnacentral:lncRNA from 10 species